UAGGGAAUCUUCGGCAAUGGGGGGAACCCUGACCGAGCAACGCCGCGUGAGUGAAGAAGGUUUUCGGAUCGUAAAGCUCUGUUGUUAAGGAAGAACGAGUGUGAGAAUGGAAAGUUCAUGCUGUGACGGUACUUAACCAGAAAGCCACGGCUAACUACGUGCCAGCAGCCGCGGUAAUACGUAGGUGGCAAGCGUUGUCCGGAUUUAUUGGGCGUAAAGCGAGCGCAGGCGGUCAAUUAAGUCUGAUGUGAAAGCCCCCGGCUCAACCGGGGAGGGUCAUUGGAAACUGGUUGACUUGAGUGCAGAAGAGGAGAGUGGAAUUCCAUGUGUAGCGGUGAAAUGCGUAGAUAUAUGGAGGAACACCAGUGGCGAAGGCGACUCUCUGGUCUGUCACUGACGCUGAGGCUCGAAAGCGUGGGUAGCAAACAGG
rnacentral:rRNA from 1 species